CCUCUUUCCACUGCAAAGAAAGAACUCAUUCAGUUUGAGCCCUCCAGACAGGGGCCACAGACCAGAACCCAAAACACAAGAGUGGGCUCAAGUGAUAGCAUUUUCACUGAUAUGAGGACAGAAGCGGACUAAGGUUUUUAUGAAUGUACACAGCAACUUUUGGACUGGGACAAAACAAAGGGUGAUGAUGCUGGGCUGGUGGUGGUGGUCUUUCUUUGCCGUGGGGGUAAGUCUCGUCUCUCCAGUGCUCUGCCAAAGUGGAGAUGGAGAAUGGGGGUCUGGCCUUUACAUGGACUCUCCAUUGAUGGUCACCAAUGGCACGUCUCACACCGUUGGGGAUGAGCCUGCAAGGACAACAAUUAACCCAAAAUCAAUCACCCUAAAUCAGCCACCAUCUCCUGCCCCUACCCUCCUAUAUGAACCCCAACCUGAUAAAUGUUCUGUGUACUUCAGCACCAAAACCUCUGCAAGGCUUAAAGCAUACCAAGAGGAGAUGGCAUACCUACAAGCCAUUCAACACGGGAACAGAGCAGUAAUGGACAACCUUGUUCAAUACGUGGGGGCGGAGCUAGGGCAUCACAAUUAUGAAGAUAUUAUUAAGGAGAAUAUCAUUGGCAUUCAAGAAGAGCACAAAAGCUGCCAUGAGACGGUGGAGAAGGCUGAGGAGGACCUGAAGAAGCAGCUGGAGGGGGAGGCACUGGGCGCUCUUUCGGGGAUGCAGAAAGUCAGAGAGGAGUCCUUGGCCUUUGAAGACAUGCUUUCUACAGCAGCCGACAUCGCCAGUCGACUGGAGAGCUCUGCCCAGGCUCUGCAGGUUGCAUUCACCAAGAGGCUGAAACAUAUUGUCAACACGCAUCAGUGAGAACACCCCCAGCACCAAACUUUUGAAUAAACAUCAGCAUUUUGAAAAGCAGGUUCCCAAGACAAGCACAAAAUUUUUGUUUUUGUUUUAAGGGUUCACGGCUCUGUUCUUUUCGUUUUGUUUAUUGUAAAAACAUCCCUUUCAUUUGUAAUGCUUAAGUGCAUGUUCCAUCUCUUCUUCUGGAAAUUGGUUGGGUCAGACUGUGCAGCGGUAAGGGGCGCAGGUUUAUGCCAAGCCCAGUGUUUAUGGAUCAUAGCAGAUUGGCCCUGAGAGACCAACUGUAAUGACUGUGUUAGACUUGUGCAGACGAAGCUAUGGAUCAGCCAUCUGGUUACAGGGCGAGGAUGGAGCAAGCAGCCCUCUCAUCUGUGAUUGUGGUGUGGGUAAAAGGGGCAAUUUUCCUCCAGGCAUUUGGCCCUACACUGAAGAACCAAGCCUGUGACAAAAUGUGUAUAUUGUGGAGCAUAAGAGCUAUAGCCAAUUGUAUAAAUGAAGUGUCCUUAGGCCCAUGGUGCACACAGUGACCCUGUACUCUUUACAGGGUCAGGACACACAGCAACAACAUUAUUAUGGAAAGGUUGUGAAAUAUACUGUAUUUUUACACUUGUAUAACUUUUCAUUUCAAAAUCUCUUCAGUCGUAUAUAGAAUUCCUUUUCCAGAAAAAAACAAACAAA
ensembl:lncRNA